UACGGGGGGGGCAAGCGUUGUUCGGAAUUACUGGGCGUAAAGGGCUCGUAGGUGGCCAACUAAGUCGGACGUGAAAUCCCUCGGCUUAACCGGGGAACUGCGUCUGAUACUGGAUGGCUUGAGUUCGGGAGAGGGAUGCGGAAUUCCAGGUGUAGCGGUGAAAUGCGUAGAUAUCUGGAGGAACACCGGUGGCGAAGGCGGCAUCCUGGACCGACACUGACACUGAGGAGCGAAAGCCAGGGGAGCAAACGGG
rnacentral:rRNA from 1 species